rnacentral:rRNA from 1 species
GACGAACGCUGGCGGCGUGCUUAACACAUGCAAGUCGAACGGAAAGGCCCUGCUUUUGUGGGGUGCUCGAGUGGCGAACGGGUGAGUAACACGUGAGUAACCUGCCCUUGACUUUGGGAUAACUUCAGGAAACUGGGGCUAAUACCGGAUAGGAGCUCCUGCUGCAUGGUGGGGGUUGGAAAGUUUCGGCGGUUGGGGAUGGACUCGCGGCUUAUCAGCUUGUUGGUGGGGUAGUGGCUUACCAAGGCUUUGACGGGUAGCCGGCCUGAGAGGGUGACCGGCCACAUUGGGACUGAGAUACGGCCCAGACUCCUACGGGAGGCAGCAGUGGGGAAUAUUGCACAAUGGGCGGAAGCCUCAUGCAGCAACGCCGCGUGCGGGAUGACGGCCUUCGGGUUGUAAACCGCUUUCGCCUGUGACGAAGCGUGAGUGACGGUAAUGGGUAAAGAAGCACCGGCUAACUACGUG